rnacentral:rRNA from 1 species
GACGAACGCUGGCGGCGUGCUUAACACAUGCAAGUCGAACGGAAAGGCCCUGCUUUUGUGGGGUGCUCGAGUGGCGAACGGGUGAGUAACACGUGAGUAACCUGCCCUUGACUUUGGGAUAACUUCAGGAAACUGGGGCUAAUACCGGAUAGGAGCUCCUGCUGCAUGGUGGGGGUUGGAAAGUUUCGGCGGUUGGGGAUGGACUCGCGGCUUAUCAGCUUGUUGGUGGGGUAGUGGCUUACCAAGGCUUUGACGGGUAGCCGGCCUGAGAGGGUGACCGGCCACAUUGGGACUGAGAUAGGGCCCAGACUCCUACGGGAGGCAGAAGUGGGGAAUAUUGCAGAGUGGGCGGAAGCCUGAUGCAGCAACGCCGCGUGCGGGAUGACGGCCUUCGGGUUGUAAACCGCUUUCGCCUGUGACGAAGCGUGAGUGACGGUAAUGGGUAAAGAAGCACCGGCUAACUACGUG